CGAGGCAGCAAGGUAGAACCUGGCAUAGAAGGUGGAUUAUCCAGAUUACCUGAGUGGGCCUGUGUACAUCACCAGGGCCUUAAAUGUGGAAGGCGCACAGAAGAGGAGAACCAAAGACAUGGCAGGGAGGACUUGGCCCAAGGUCGCUGGCGGCUUUGAAGAUGGAGGAAGAGGGCCUCGAGCCUGGAAUGUGGUUGGCCUCUAGACACUGGAAAAGGCAAGGAGACAGUCUCUCCCCUAGAGGAAUCCUGGGUGUAACCAGAAAACAUCAGCCAAUGUGAAUUCUUCUCAGCAGGGGCUGGAGUAAGGAAACAGCGCUGAUCACUUUUUCCUGAAAACCCAGUGGUAUCAACCAUUUGAUGGGGGUCAAGGAGCCAGAGUCUCGUUACUGAGGCGGUCAGCAACUGACCCAGAGAAAAGGUCGAUGGAAAACCUCCUAUCGCUCAUUCCCAGCGUCCUUCCUCCUGCCAGGCAUGUGACCUCACUGAGUCUUUCUUAGAAUCAUGGAGAAACAUUUAUUGAACACCCACUUGCAAGGGUGUG